CACAUUUCCAUAGGAAUCUGAAUCUACUGUGAUUUUAAUGGAAGAAAACUGCAUUGACUGCAAGCAACUUUCUCAGUCUGAUUUGGCCUCUGCUAUUUGAAAUUCUUACUUUGAGCCAUAUCCAGACACCAAUACAAUACAGAUGGUAAAGGAUAAAACACUUUCUUGGAUAGAACAUCUGGCUGUCUCAUGAUCUUCACAAGCUGGUGGCUUCUGAGAAGCCUAACCCAAGGAGAUUUGUGUGACCUCACUGGAUGCUGAGUGCUCAUGAAGACACCAAAGAUAGCCUUUGCCAAUACUCUUUA